rnacentral:rRNA from 1 species
AUUGAACGCUGGCGGCAUGCCUUACACAUGCAAGCCGAACGGUAACAGGUCUUCGGAUGCUGACGAGUGGCGAACGGGUGAGUAAUACAUCGGAACGUGCCCAGCAAUGGGGGAUAGCUCGGCGAAAGCCGGAUUAAUACCGCAUACGCCCUGAGGGGGAAAGUGGGGGAUCGCAAGACCUCACGUUAUUGGAGCGGCCGAUGGCUGAUUAGCUAGUUGGUAGGGUAAAGGCCUACCAAGGCGACGAUCAGUAGCUGGUCUGAGAGGACGAUCAGCCACACUGGGACUGAGACACGGCCCAGACUCCUACGGGAGGCAGCAGUGGGGAAUUUUGGACAAUGGGGGAAACCCUGAUCCAGCAAUGCCGCGUGUGCGAAGAAGGCCUUCGGGUUGUAAAGCACUUUUGUCAGGGAAGAAAUCCUUUGGGCUAAUACCCUAGGGGGAUGACGGUACCUGAAGAAUAAGCACCGGCUAACUACGUGCCAGCCGCCGCCGUAAGAC